rnacentral:tRNA from 1 species
AAUGAAGUGCCUGAAUAAAGGGUUAUUUUGAUAGAAUAAAUUAUGUAGAAUAUACCUUCAGAA